GUGCUUGCUUUGGCGGUACAUACACUAAAAUUGGAGCAAUACAGAGAUUAGCAAGGCCCCUGUGAAAGGAUGACCCACAAAUUCACAAAGCAUUCCAUAUUUUC
rnacentral:snRNA from 1 species